rnacentral:rRNA from 1 species
UACGUAGGGACCAAGCGUUGUUCGGAUUUACUGGGCGUAAAGGGCGCGUAGGCGGCAAUUCAAGUCAGCUGUGAAAUCUCCGAGCUUAACUCGGAACGGUCAGCUGAUACUGUUUUGCUAGAGUACAGAAGGGGCAAUCGGAAUUCUUGGUGUAGCGGUGAAAUGCGUAGAUAUCAAGAGGAACACCUGAGGUGAAGACGGGUUGCUGGGCCGAUACUGACGCUGAGGAGCGAAAGCGUGGGGAGCGAACGGG